AUGAGAGAGUUUUGUGGACUGACAAAUUCGGUGAGGGAGAUGAAGUUGCAGUCUGGCGAAAGGACAGGAUUUCGGGGGGAGUGUGGGCAAGAAGAAAUCCAGAGAAACCAAGCUGCAGCCAGUCCAGCGCCCUGAAAUUCAUGUGACUAGCAGGUCCAUCUCACUUGGAGUCGCAGCCAUGCAAGCGUAAUUCACCAGAUGAGACAGCUACAAAAAACAGCUUAAUUGUGAAUUUAGGUGAUCCAACUAUGCCAGAAGUUUUUCUCUACUUUAUCUGUAGUAUGUUGUGC